rnacentral:lncRNA from 1 species
GAUUCAGCCUUGUUACGUUGAGUCAUGCUUAUCUUCCUGUCUUACAGAUUAUAAUUUUAAAAUUCUCUCCAGACGCAACCUGAGAGUUUACUGGCUCCAUUUGCUACACACAAAUAAUUCUUAUUUCAAUAUUGUAUUAAAGUGUUCCUAGCUAGUCCACUCCAGUUCUUUAUCGGAACAAAACUUUUCUGCUAUUAUUUCCAGUUUCUUGGACCAGAACAAUAAAGCACAUAAGAUAGUUUCUAUAUGAACUACACUAUAUGGAAUAAAUGUUAUUAUGUAAAUUAUUAAAUUGCUAUACAGACCUUUACAAAAAAAAAAAGCAAAACUAAGGUACCUCAAUGGUGUCUGCUACAGAGAUUUUUUUUUUUCUUUUUAAUUAUUUUUGGUCAUAUCCUUUUUGGUAAGUAAUAUAUAUUCCAUACUCAGGUUAGCUAUCAAAAGAAUUAAGCAUUUGUGAUCUUUGGUUGAAAACUUUUACUAA